UUCUAUAAAUUUCACAAAGGUAUUGUAAACUACUCCGGCGGUAUUACUAAUUUAUUUGUCGGUAUUGUUACUAAUUUCACGAAGGGCUGAGGGAGUUAUAUCAUAUUUGGUGAAUUUGCUAGUUUGGAAUUAUAUCAUAUUUGGUAAAAAAUAAUUGGAGGUUGAGGGAGUGUUUGGUGAUUGUAAUCUUACAUUUAUCUUGCUUUUGGAUCCUUGUUUUGUUUAAUACCGUCGAAUAAGUUGAUAAUACUGCCUAGAAAAUUAUAGAAUACCACUGGAACAGUUCAGAAUACCGGAUGGAGGUAUUUUAUAAUUUCACGAAGGUAUUAUGAACUACGCCAGCGGUAUUAUUAAUUUAUUUGGCGGUAUUAUGAUCAAUGAAUCUCUUUAACAUGAUCUUGUGGUAUAUCAUGCUUGUAUGCAGAUCAUUGUUCCAUGUGUUAUCAGUGAACAUUAUGUUAUUGUUCGAAUCCAUCCCGGACUUUGGCAAGCAGAUUUGUUCGAUCCAAAGUAUCAUGGUUUGGAUGAACAAUCCAAACUAAUUCGUGCCGAUGAAUUACAGCCACUACUAACUUUGUUCUCUCGAGUAUUGGAAUCUGCUGGAUACUGGGCUACAAACGAGUUAGCUUUGACGAGGAAGACCCGACCAUUACAGAUAUACAUUUCGGGUCCAGAAGAGCAGUUUACCCAGAAGGACUUGUAUUCAUCUGGCCCAUUCGCAUGCAUGAUAGUGGAGCGUAUCAUUUCUGGUCAGCCAAGUAUUACUUGGGGGGACACGCGAGUCAACAAGUAUAGGGAAUUGAUUGCCGCUAGCAUUUUUGAUAUGGGUGUCGUGGAGGAGUAGUGCACGUAUCAUAUGAACAUGUUUUUUAUGCUUAAGACAUUUGCUACCUUAUGAUCAUGUUUUGUAUUGUUAAGACAGUUGCUACCUUAUUAAGACAUUUGCU
rnacentral:lncRNA from 1 species